AUUGAACGCUGGCGGCAGGCCUAACACAUGCAAGUCGAACGAGUGGCGGACGGGUGAGUAAUGUCUGGGAAACUGCCUGAUGGAGGGGGAUAAAUACUGGAAACGGUAGCUAAUACCGCAUACCCUCAGCUGAGCCCAUAUGGGAUUGGCUAGUUGGUGGGGUAACGGCUCACCAAGGCGACGAUCCCUAGCUGGUCUGAGAGGAGGACCAUCCCCACGGGAACUGCACCCCGGUCCAGACUCCCAGGGGAGGCAGAAGGGGGGAAUAUUGCACAAGUGGCGCAAGCCUGCUGCAGCCCUGCCGGGUGUAUGAAGCAGGCCUUCGGUUUUUAAAGUACUUUAAGCGGGGAGGCGUUACCCGCAGAAGAAGCACCGGCUAACUCCGUGCCAGCAGCCGCGGUAAUUC
rnacentral:rRNA from 1 species